rnacentral:lncRNA from 1 species
UUUAAGACAGCAGGUAUCCAGGCUUGAGGGUGAGGCUUUGCCAGGGAACUGCCCUUUUCUACCCAGUAUUUCCGUCUCCUGUCCAUAUCACUAAGAGGAAGAGAACGCAAAGAUUAAGGAAAGGCUAAGUCUGUCACCUUGAAAAGUAAUCCUUAUUCCCUUUAAAAAUAAGAAAACUGAGGCUUAGAAUGCAUGGAGAAUUUAAGUUAUUGACUCAAGUCCCUUUUUGCACAUUAGUACUCUAUAUUGUUCCUUUCAUAUAGGCAUAUAUAUUAAAUGAAUAGACAUACACAUUUAAUGCUUAAAAUAAGUAAUAGUGUUUAGUUAAGUAACCAUUAAAUUAAGUAAACAGUAAUAAAAGUAAAAUCUGUGAUGUUAUAUACAAGCAAUCACAUAAUUAACGGCAUUUGAGUAGCUUUUCCAAAAAUACUAGGAAGACGGUAUAUGUGUAUUUGUUUAUAUGCUGUUGAGGCAGUAAUAAAACAAGCCUACAAGCUAAGGAAUUUUAUUUGCAGAAAAUGAGGGAUUUAUAAAAUGUGUCUAUUAUCUUAUCAUAAUACUUGGCUGGCAACAACAUAAAUUGUAUACUGUUAAAUCCAAUAAUUAAACUUUAAGAAUUGAAUUUACGGAUACAUUUUCUUGUGAAUAAAGAUAUAUAAACAAAAAUAUUUCCUGUCAAAACAUUUAUAAUAGCAAAUUACUGUAAAAGACCUAAAUGUCCAUCAUUACAAAUCAGUUUAAAUAAAGUAUAUUAUCCAGUCUGGGUAACAUUUUUAUUUUAUUCGACCAAAAGAGAAAAAAAAUAAUUAGCCAGUCAUGGUGGCCUGUGCCUGUAGACUUAGCCACUCAGAAGGCUGAAGCAGGAGGAUCCCCUGAGCCUGGGAGAUUGAGGCUGCAGUGAGCUGUGAUUACACACUGUGCUCUAGCCUGGGCAACAGGGUGAGACCUUGUCUCUCUCAAUAAUAAUAAUAAAGUAUGCUAUAUUAAUGUACUGGCAUAUUAUGCAGUAAUUCAGAAUAAUAGAAUUAUGUGUGCUUAUAUGGAAAGAUCUUCAAGAUACACAUCGAGUGAAGAAAAAGCAAGGCCCACAACUGAGCAUACCGUUACUUAAUUUCUAUAAGAUAUUUUAGGUACAUAUGCAUAUAUGUUCAGAGACAAUAUUUUGAAAAGUAACUCUUAAUAGUAGUUCUCUCUGGGAACAGAAGUAGGAGACCGAUCAUAAUCUAAGGUCUAGUUCUCAGAGAGAUCAAAGGCUAAGGUGCAGUGAUAUUCACAAAACAAAAACAGAUAGUACCAUUGCUAUCUUUAUAAAAAGAUAUAAAAAGAUAUAAAAAAAUUAUAAAAACAAAAUACUGAGUACUUUCUAUGUGAAAAUUCUUAUUGAAAGCUAUAUAUAUACACAUAUAAUUUACUUUACUUCUAAUUUGGAUAUACAGGUAUUAUUAUCCCCUUUUACAGAUGAGGUAAAUGAAAAUGAAAGAGAUUGAGUUGUUUGCAAAAGAUGAUGCAAUUGCAGUUGUUUUGUUUUGGUUUCCUGUGUAGCACUUAAUACCAUGCUAAACUAGUAGAGAGGGCUUUGGUGAGUGAGGAUAAACAGAGAUUCGAUCCAACUAUGGAAUAAAAUAUUCUAAUGUGUUGCAUGGAAAAGCAAUAAUGCAAGCAAUAAUCUCUAAUGUUGCUUGGGAAAUAUACCAAAAUAUUGUUUGAUGUUCAUCUAAAAUACAAAUUGUAGUAAACAAUUUUCUAUUAUUAUCUGAAAUUCAAAUUAAAUAGAUGGUUGAUUGGUUGGUUCAUUCCAAGUAUAGGUAUAUAUAUAUACCUGUAUAUAUGUAUACCUAAACCUGGUUGGAAUGAAAGAUGAACAGAAUUACACGCACAUAUAUAUAUGUGUGCGUGAUCACGUGUUUCUGUGUGUGGGAGUGGGGGAGGGCAUGCCCAAACAUGAACAUACAUGUGCACACAUUUGUAUGCAAGCACAUGCAUGCUUUAGGUUGGGUAAACAUUAAUUCUACAUAUAAUUAAACUGUAUACACAUAUACACAGUACAUAUGGUCAAGCCUUAUCAACCCUGCAUUAGGGUUUUAAAGAAAGAAAUUUUUAUACAAAAUUGUGUUACCUUAAACCACGGCAUUCCUUCCUCUUCUAAACAACAUUUAAAAACGAGGAUAUAUGAAACAUCUUCAGAAGAAUGACCCUUUGUUUUGCAGUGAAAGAAAAUCUUCAGGGUUACCAACCUUGUGCAAAAUAUCACAGGGUUUGUGAAAUAAGAAAGUCAAUAUGUAUUAGAAAAAGAGAAGAGACCCGUGUAUAGAGUGAACAGGAAACCAGCGAUGAGAAAAGCAGCAGGGGGUUACCUGUUGAGCCCUGUGACCUUUCCCUAUUCCGAUUACACUGAAGAUAGUGUAAAUCACACACACGAAAAAUGUUUCUUUAAUUCUUUAGUUUUCUAUAUACAGGUAAUGAUUUUUCUCUCCACUAUUUUCUUUUUAACUUUAAUAAUUUUCCCCAUUAAAGUUAUUAUACUUGUAAAUUCAACUCAGUGUAACUUAAAUAGGAGAAAAUAAUAAGUAUCUUGAAGUUUUCCCUAAUACUAUUUAUAAAACUUUCCAAAAAUGGAUAGUAUCCUUCCGCUAUCAAGUAAUACUAUAUGCACCAAGGGAAAUGAAACAGAUCUUAGCGUGAGCCCUGCAGCCUAUUAAACAUUUAAUAAGUAAUAAGGAUCCAUCAAAAUGUGGACUAUUUUUUACAUAUUACAACUGCAGACAGUCGUUCUCCAAUUUGAGUUAUAGAAGUGAGGAGGAAAGCCAUUGUGACAGAAGAAUCAAAUAUAAAGUGACUAGAAAUAGUUGAUUGAUUGUAUUGUUCAUUUUGUAAUACAAACUUUCAAGGACUGAGUCAUGAAUACAGACAAUUUUGUGCCAUUAUCAAUGUACAUGUGUCUCUGGCUUAAUAUCUCAAAAUAUUGAGAUCCUAUUUCUUUUCCAAUGUCAUCAUAACUAUUUUGAUACAUUCAUUAGUCAAAUCCCUGGAUUGCAAUUUGUCUUGUCUUGUGAUAUCAGGGAGUAACACCAAUACAGGACAUAUUCAAUAUAAUUUGGUAAUUCAGCAUGCCUUUCAUAUUCUGAUUGUCAGGACUGGCUAAUUUUACAAAGUCAAAGUAGUACAUUUCAGUGAUAGCAGGCUUAGAGUGUCUACUUCAUGGAGAACAUGUCACUUGUUUCUUCUUCAUUCCCCUUCCAAAUCUAGCCUAUUCUCAUAGCCUUCUGUGAAUAAGACACAUUUGUCACCAUCCUCUACAGUUCAAAUCAAGUGACCCUGGCAUAUUGCGAUAGGUAGGCUGAAUUCUAAAAUGUACCCAAGUUUCCUGCCUCUGUUCUGCAUACCCUGUAUAAUCCCUUCUCCUUGGGUGUUAUAGAACCUAUAAAUACGAUGGGAUAUCACUGCCAUGAUUAUGUUAUAUUAUGUGUCAAAGAUAAAGGGGCUGCAAACUAAUAACUGUGUGUUUUUGUAAAUCACUAAGUAGGUGGUAAUUUGUUAUACAGCAAUGACAAACUAAUACAAGUGACUUCUAGGCCAACAUCAUUAUAAUAUGAAUUGAAGUUAGCUGAUAUUGUCUUCAAGAAUCGGAAACACUGAAUUCAGAAUUACAUUAAUAUCAGGUCCUAAACUAGUGUUGAAAACACAGUACAUACUCAAUAAGAGUUGUAUAUGU